ensembl:snRNA U6 U6 spliceosomal RNA
GGACUCACUUUAGCAGCACAUAUAUUAAAAUUGGAACUACAUAGAGAUUACCAUAGUCCCUGCUCAAGGAUAACACAUGAAUUCAUAAAAUAUUCCACAUUUGG